GCCUCCUCUGACAGCAAUGUACUAUGGUGGAAUGACAGAAAUGAUUAGGAUGGCCUCUGUGCAAGGCUGAUACAUAAAUCUGUGAAUGUUCCAUAUUUGU
rnacentral:snRNA from 1 species